rnacentral:tRNA from 1 species
CAGGGUGUAGCUCAGCUUGGCUAGAGCGGGUGGUUUGGGUCCACCAGGUCGCAGGUUCGAAUCCUGUCACCCUGA